CACGAGGAUCCAUUGGAGGGCAAGUCUGGUGCCAGCAGCCGCGGUAACUCCAGCUCCAAUAGCGUAUAUUAAAGUUGCUGCAGUUAAAAAGCUCGUAGUUGGAUCUCGGUCGCAUUUUUGCCUGCUGGUAUUAUUGGGUGACUGCACUGGAGUGUCUCAAGUCCUCGGCGUGUGCUUGGCCUUCUGGUGAAGGGCACGUCGGUGGCGUGAGGUGCUCCCUAAACGGUGUGGUUAUCCCAAGCUGGCAUGGCGAGGAUGUAACCUGUAAGCCAUGUCUGUGGAGUAAUGUCCACAGGUGGACGCGGGUGUCGGGCAGUGCACUGCACUUGUUGUGGAGCCUGUCGGCCCGCGUGCAUGCCCCCUCUGGUGCCCUUAAUAAGGUGUCGGGGGGCGGAUGGCACGUUUACUUUGAACAAAUUUGAGUGCUCAAAUCAGGCCGAUGUUGCCUGAAUAGUUUUGCAUGGAAUAAUGGAAUAGGACUUCGGUUCUAUUUCGUUGGUUUUCGGAUCCGAAGUAAUGAUCAAAAGAGACAGGCGGGGACGUUUGUAUGGCUGCGCUAGAGGUGAAAUUCAUGGACCGUAGCCAGACAAACUAAAGCGAAAGCAUUCGUCAAGCAUGUUUUCAUUGGCCAUGAGCGAAAGUCAGAGGCUCGAAGACGAUCAGAUACCGUCCUAGUUCUGACCAUAAACGAUGCCAACUGACGAUCCGUGGUGGUAGUGUUAACCUUCCCCACGGGCAGUCCCCGGGAAACCUUUAAGUCUUUGGUCCG
rnacentral:rRNA from 1 species